AGCAGCAGCCGCGGUAACACGCAGGUGGCAAGCGUUGUCCGGAAUUAUUGGGCGUAAAGGGCUCGCAGGCGGUUUCUUAAGUCUGAUGUGAAAGCCCCCGGCUCAACCGGGGAGGGUCAUUGGAAACUGGGAAACUUGAGUGCAGAAGAGGAGAGUGGAAUUCCACGUGUAGCGGUGAAAUGCGUAGAGAUGUGGAGGAACACCAGUGGCGAAGGCGACUCUCUGGUCUGUAACUGACGCUGAGGAGCGAAAGCGUGGGGAGCGAACAGGAUUAGAUACCCCCGUAGUCCCUGUCUCUUAUAC
rnacentral:rRNA from 1 species